rnacentral:rRNA from 1 species
GAUGAACGCUGGCGGCGUGCCUAAUACAUGCAAGUCGAGCGAACAGACGAGGAGCUUGCUCCUUCGACGUUAGCGGCGGACGGGUGAGUAACACGUAGGUAACCUACCUAUAAGACUGGGAUAACUUCGGGAAACCGGAGCUAAUACCGGAUAAUAUUUCGAACCGCAUGGUUCGAUGGUUAAAGAUGGCUUUGCUAUCACUUAUAGAUGGACCUGCGCCGUAUUAGCUAGUUGGUAAGGUAACGGCUUACCAAGGCAACGAUACGUAGCCGACCUGAGAGGGUGAUCGGCCACACUGGAACUGAGACACGGUCCAGACUCCUACGGGAGGCAGCAGUAGGGAAUCUUCCGCAAUGGGCGAAAGCCUGACGGAGCAACGCCGCGUGAGUGAUGAAGGUCUUCGGAUCGUAAAACUCUGUUAUUAGGGAAGAACAAACGUGUAAGUAACUGUGCACGUCUUGACGGUACCUAAUCAGAAAGCCACGGCUAACUACGUG